rnacentral:rRNA from 1 species
AGAGUUUGAUCCUGGCUCAGGAUGAACGCUAGCGGCAGGCUUAAUACAUGCAAGUCAAGGGGUAGCAAUACACCGGCGGACGGGUGCGUAACGCGUACACAACAUACCCUUAAGCGGGGGAUAGCAUUGGGAAACUGAUGGUAAUACCCCAUGGUGUUGGAUCAUGGCAUCAUGAUUCAACUAAAGGUUACACUUGAGGAUUGGUGUGCGUAUGAUUAGCUAGUUGGUAGGGUAACGGCCUACCAAGGCGAUGAUCAUUAGGGGGUGUGAGAGCAUGACCCCCCACACGGGUACUGAGACACGGACCCGACUCCUACGGGAGGCAGCAGUAAGGAAUAUUGGACAAUGGUCGGAAGACUGAUCCAGCCAUGCCGCGUGAAGGACGAAGGCGCUCUGCGUUGUAAACUUCUUUUGGACAGGAACAAAAAGUCGGAUGCGUCCGGCCCUGAGGGUACUGUCAGAAUAAGCACCGGCUAACUCCGUGCCAGCAGCCGCGGUAAUACGGAGGGUGCAAGCGUUAUCCGGAAUCACUGGGUUUAAAGGGUGCGUAGGCGGUUCGUUAAGUCAGUUGUGAAAUUCCCCCGC